rnacentral:rRNA from 1 species
AUUGAACGCUGGCGGCAUGCUUUACACAUGCAAGUCGAGCGGUAACAGGCCUUCCGGUGCUGACGAGUGGCGAACGGGUGAGUAAUGCAUAGGAACGUACCCAGAGGCGGGGGAUAACGCAUCGAAAGCUGUGCUAAUACCUCAUGUGAUCUGAGGUUGAGAGCCGGGGACUGAGCAGCAAUGUUUCGGCUCUCGCGUUUGGAGUGGCCGAUGUCGGACUAGCUAGUUGGUGGGGUAAAGGCCUACCAAGGCGACGAUCCGUAGCUGAUCUGAGAGGACGAUCGGCCACACUGGGACUGAGACACGGCCCAGACUCCUACGGGAGGCAGCAGUAGGGAAGUUUGGACAAUGGGCGCAAGCCUGACCCAGCAAUGCCGCGUGCGGGAAGAAGGCCUUCGGGUUGUAAACCGCUUUUGGGAGGAAAGAAAAGGUGUCGACUAAGACCGGGCGGUAAUGACGGUACCUGCUGAAAAAGCACCGGCUAACUACGUG